GGCAGUAUAGUGCAUCGAAGCACGCGGGAUUACUUUGUACGAGGCUUGCACUCCGAUUGAUUCCGAAGUCCUUGUUCGAAUCAAGGUACUGCUU